rnacentral:rRNA from 1 species
AUGGCUCCUGCCGGGACCAGGGGCGCCCGCGCGGCUGCGCCGGCGGCGGUGCUCCUCGUGGCGGCGCUGCUGGUGGCGCUGGCGCUGGCGCCGCGGGGCACGAGCGCGGCGCUGACGUGCUCCACGGUGUACAACGAGCUGAUGCCGUGCCUCGGGUACGUGCAGUCGGGCGGGGCGGUGCCGCGGGCGUGCUGCUCGGGGAUCAAGACGCUCGUGUCCAGGGCGCGCGCCACGCCCGACCGCCGCGCCGCCUGCGCCUGCCUCAAGACCGUGGCCGCCGCCGCGGCGGGCGGGCCGUACCUCGGCCGCGCCGCGGGGCUGCCCGGCAGGUGCGGCGUCCAGCCGCCCUUCAAGAUCGACCCCAACGUCAACUGCAACGCG